CGACCCCAGGUCAGGCGGGAUCAUCCGCUGAGUUUAA
rnacentral:rRNA from 1 species